rnacentral:rRNA from 1 species
CUUCCUACGGGGGGCAGCAGUGAGGAAUAUUGGUCAAUGGGCGGGAGCCUGAACCAGCCAAGUCGCGUGAGGGAAGACGGUCCUACGGAUUGUAAACCUCUUUUGCCGGGGAGCAACGGGGUCCUUGCGAGGGCCCGAUGAGAGUACCCGGAGAAAAAGCAUCGGCUAACUCCGUGCUAGCAGCCGCGGUAAUACGGAGGAUGCGAGCGUUAUCCGGAUUUAUUGGGUUUAAAGGGUGCGUAGGCGGACUGUUAAGUCAGCGGUAAAAGCCCGGGGCUCAACCCCGGCGAGCCGUUGAAACUGCC